rnacentral:rRNA from 1 species
GAUGAACGCUGGCGGCGUGCCUAAUACAUGCAAGUCGAGCGAACGGACGAUAAGCUUGCGUCUCUGAUGUUAGCGGCGGACGUGUGAGUAACACGUGGAUAACCUACCUAUAAUACUGGUAUAACUUCGGGAAACCGGAUCUAAUACCGGAUAAUAUUUUGAACCGCAUGGUUCAAAAGUGAAAGACGGUCGUUCUGUCACUUAUAGAUGGAUCCGCGCUGCAUUAGCUAGUUGGUAAGGUAACGACUUACCAAGGCAACGAUGCAUAGACGACCUGAGAGGGUGAUCGGCCACACUGGAACUGAGACACGGUCCAGACUCCUACGGGAGGCAGCAGUAGGGAACCUUCCGCAAUGGGCGAAAGCCUGACGGAGCAACGCCGCGUGAGUGAUGACGGUCUUCGGAUCGUAAAACUCUGUUAUUAGGGAAGAACAUAUGUGUAAGUAACUGUGCACAUCUUGACGGUAACUAAUCAGAAAGCCACGGCUAACUACGUG